rnacentral:rRNA from 1 species
AGAGUUUGAUCAUGGCUCAGAUUGAACGCUGGCGGCGUGCCUAACACAUGCAAGUCGAGCGGUAACAGGUGUAGCAAUACAUGCUGACGAGCGGCGAACGGGUGAGUAAUGCUUUGGAAUCUUCCCAGUAGUGGGGAAUAACCAGUCGAAAGAUUGGCUAAUACCGCAUACGUCUGUAAAGGGAAAGCGGGGGCUCGUAAGACCUCGCGCUAUUGGAUGAGCCAAAGUCGGAUUAGCUAGUUGGUGGGGUAAUGGCCUACCAAGGCGACAAUCCGUAGCUGGUCUGAGAGGACGACCAGCCACACCGGAACUGAGACACGGUCCGGACUCCUACGGGAGGCAGCAGUGGGGAAUAUUGGACAAUGGGGGAAACCCUGAUCCAGCGACGCCGCGUGUGUGAAGAAGGCCUGCGGGUUGUAAAGCACUUUUAGUGGGGACAAAAAGCUACGGAUUAAUACUCUGUGGUCUUGAUUUAACCCAAAGAAAAAGCACCGGCUAACUCUGUGCCAGCAGCCGCGGUAAUACAGAGGGUGCGAGCGUUAAUCGGAAUUACUGGGCGUAAAGCGCGCGUAGACGGUUUUGUAAGUCAGAUGUGAAAUCCCCGGGCUCAACCUGGGAACUGCAUUUGAAACUGCAUGGCUAGAGUAUCGAAGAGGGAAGUGGAAUUUCCGGUGUAGCGGUGAAAUGCGUAGAUAUCGGAAGGAACACCAGUGGCGAAAGCGACUUCCUGGUCGAAUACUGACGUUCAUGUGCGAAAGCGUGGGGAGCAAACAGGAUUAGAUACCCUAGUAGUCC